rnacentral:rRNA from 1 species
AGUGAACGCUGGCGGUAGGCCUAACACAUGCAAGUCGAACGGCAGCACAGUAAGAGCUUGCUCUUACGGGUGGCGAGUGGCGGACGGGUGAGGAAUACAUCGGAAUCUACUUUUUCUUGGGGGAUAACGUAGGGAAACUUACGCUAAUACCGCAUACGACCUACGGGUGAAAGCAGGGGAUCUUCGGACCUUGCGCGAUUGAAUGAGCCGAUGUCGGAUUAGCUAGUUGGCGGGGUAAAGGCCCACCAAGGCGACGAUCCGUAGCUGGUCUGAGAGGAUGAUCAGCCACACUGGAACUGAGACACGGUCCAGACUCCUACGGGAGGCAGCAGUGGGGAAUAUUGGACAAUGGGCGCAAGCCUGAUCCAGCCAUGCCGCGUGAGUGAAGAAGGCCUUCGGGUUGUAAAGCCCUUUUGUUGGGAAAGAAAAGCAGCAGGUUAAUACCCCGCUGUUCUGACGGUACCCAAAGAAUAAGCACCGGCUAACUUCGUG